rnacentral:rRNA from 1 species
GUGCAGCAGGCGCGAAUACUCCGCAAUGCGGGCAACCGCGACGGGGCUACCCCGAGUGCCGGGCGAAGAGUCCGGCUUUUGCCCGGUCUAAAAAGCCGGGAGAAUAAGCGGGGGGCAAGUCUGGUGUCAGCCGCCGCGGUAAUACCAGCUCCGCGAGUGGUCGGGGUGUUUACUGGGCUUAAAGCGCCCGUAGCCGGCCCGGCAAGUCGCUCCUGAAAUCCCCGGGCUCAACCCGGGGGCGGGGGGCGAUACUGCCGGGCUAGGGGGCGGGAGAGGCCGCCGGUACUCCGGGGGUAGGGGCGAAAUCCGUUAAUCCCCGGAGGACCACCAGUGGCGAAAGCGGGCGGCCAGAACGCGCCCGACGGUGAGGGGCGAAAGCCGGGGGAGCAAAGGGGAUUAGAUACCCCUGUAGUCCCGGCCGUAAACGAUGCGGGCUAGCUGUCGGCCGGGCUUAGGGCCCGGCCGGUGGCGAAGGGAAACCGUUAAGCCCGCCGCCUGGGGAGUACGGCCGCAAGGCUGAAACUUAAAGGAAUUGGCGGGGGAGCAC